rnacentral:lncRNA from 1 species
AUGCUGGUGGCAGAUGCUUUGAGACUCGGAGGCGCAAUUUUGAGCGUCUACCCAGAUAUGUUGGCCCCUCAACUGAUUGGACGUCUCCUUCCUGAAAUUGGAUCGAACCCCAACGUCAAAAGCCUCUUGAGAGAGUGCGAUGAUAAGGGUCCUGAAAACUGUGCUUUGCUGCCGUUCUACCACUGUCUGCAUACACCAGGUGGACCUUUAAAGUAUUCUUUGGAAGGCCAUCAAUUCGCUGUCUUUGAUUUCUGCCUGACCGCCGACUACAGAUACAUUGUUUCGAUCUCGAAUAAGUUCAUCACUUGGGACCUUUCGACAAGUGAUAUGACAAGAGACGUGAAUCCUGGCCUCGAGGGUAUUAUGCAAAAGCUGUGCCUCAGUCCGGACAAUCGAUUCGCCGCUGCUUACACCAAUAACAAUCAAACAGUGUUACUGAACUGCUUGACCAGUGAAUUCAUCGUGAUCAACAAUCCUUAUCAGAAAAUGAAAAUGUGGAAGGAGUCUUUCUUCUGAAUGCACAUUUGUUUAUUCAUGGUCCUGCCUCUUGGUGCCAACUGGAUAUGAGAGGAAACGUUGAAAAUAGGUAAACUAUCAAAUUUUGUUUUAACUACCAGAGUAUAGCGAGUAAUAAUUUUUAGAGAUCUGCAAUGCGGUCAUUUUCUUCA